GAUUGAAGAACGUAGCGAAAUGCGAUAAGUAAUGUGAAUUGCAGAAUUCAGUGAAUCAUCGAAUCUUUGAACGCACAUUGCGCCCCCCAGUAUUCUGGCGGGCAUGCCUGUUCGAGCGUCAUUUCAACCAUCAAGCCCUGCUUGUGUUGGGGUCCUGCGGCUGCCCGCAGGCCCUGAAAACCAGUGGCGGGCUCGCUAGUCACACCGAGCGCAGUAGCACAUCUCGCUCAGGGCGUGCGGCGGGCUCCAGCCGUUAAAGCACCCACCUUUCGCAAGGUUGACCUCGGAUCAGGUAGGAAUACCCGCUGAACUUAAGCAUAUCAAUAAGCGGAGGA
rnacentral:misc_RNA from 1 species